AUGAACAGUUGGGUUUAUUUCAACAGUGGGUCUGAAACUCUCGCCUUUGGCAGGAGUACUACAGUAAUUAUACCAGGAAUAGACAAUUUCCUACACUGUCAAAUAUAUAAAAGUUCCAGAAAUGUAAUGCUAUUUUUGAAAAAAGAUUUUAUUUAUUUAUUUGACAGAGAGAGAUCACAAAUAGGCAGAGAGGCAGACAGCGAGAGAGGGGGAAGCAGGCUCCCCACUGAGCAGAGAGCCCAAUGCAGGGCGGAUCCCAGGACCCUGAUCAUGAUCUGAGCCAAAGGCAGAGGGCCAACCCACUGAGCCACCCAGGCGCCCCUGUAUUGCUAUUUUUAUGAAAUAUCAAAUUUAAUGGAUUUACUAACUGGGAGACAGGUUAGUAUCUUAUGCAUAAUUAUCAAGCCAGCAGUUUCAAUCCGGAAGAAGGAGCCAUUAUUUGUACUGAUUUCUGCAUCCAGAGUUUUUGUUUCUUUGAGUAAAUCACACAAUCUUAGUUUCAUUCAGUCAAAAAUACCAGGUACCUACUACAUGCCAGGAACUGUUCUCCAGUUUCUUCCCAACUACCAGAUGAUCUCUAAUGUCUUUUUCAACUUUAAAAAUCCAACAGUUCUUUGAUAAUAUCACCUAUGAGCUAUUGUUUAUUUCAUUACUUUUUAAAACUUCAGGCUCCACGACCAAUGCAGGGCUUAAACUCACUACCCCGAGAUUAGUAAGAGUUGCAUGCUCUACUGACUGAGCCAGCAGGCGUCUCCAGCUACUCUUAUUUUUAAAUUUCCACCAUUAGUAGCCAAGAUGAAGCACAACAAUAAUUAUCAUUAUAAAACAGAUUCUACUGAGCACUUACUAUAUACCAAGUUGUGUUCCGGAUAGCUUCCUACAUGUAUUAACUUACACAGAAUCCUAAAAAUCCUAUGAGAUAGACACUAACAUCCAUCCCCGUUUUAGGAGAGGAAACUGAAGUUCAAAGAGGCACAGCUAACUCCAGCAAUAUAGAAACAUUUGAACAAACUUUAGGCCUGUAUCACUUUCACAAAUUUACCUCAUCCAAUUCUGAAAAAAAUAUUAUGGUAACAUUGUAUUGCUCGGGAGCUAAAAAAAAAAAACCACAAAAAAAUUCAGAAAUCACACGUAAUAGGUAUCAACCAUUGAGCAUUAGAUACCUUAACAAAUGCAACCUUUAAUAAACCUCAAUUAAGUAGCUACUAGUAGUUACUAGAUUAUUCUUAUUUUCCAAAUGAAAACUGAGCAUUUGAUAGAUAAUGUUAAUUGUUCAAGGUCAUCCGAAUAGGAGGCAGACCUGGGAUUUUAAUCCCCACUCUAGAACACUCUAAUUCAAAAGUCAACACUUAACACCUUACUGAAGACUAUGGCAGUCAAUUUAUGAUUUAAGUAACACUCUCCAUCGCUAGCAUACUUUUUACUGUUCUAGUCCAUGUCUUUAAAUAUUUCCUGUUAAAAAUUCAUGAUCCGCUAGAUCAGACCAUUCAAGAAUGCUAUGCUCCACUGGAUUCCAAAUAGCUAUACCUGUGCUUUGUACCUUGGAACAUAAGGCAGAUUGUCAACUUUGUGAUUGUUUAUUUUUGUGUCAACAAUCUAGGUAAUUUCAACACCUAAAAACACUGGCAUAAUCAAGAUGCAUAAAAUAAAAAGCUCAGAAACAAGAAAACUGAAAACCAAAACCAAAAAUUUGAACAUGCAAAUAUUUGUCAUAUCACACCAAAUGAAUCUAAAAGACCGUGGCUACGGCUAAAUGGAAAAUUUCUCCUUCAAUCAAAAAUACUCCUCAUAAACCCAUGUUUAAAUAGAAGGUAUAUCCUCAGUCCUUGGCCAAGCCACAGUAAUGUUUGGUUUGUUUUAAAAUGCUAAAAAUUGGGGUGCCUGGGUGGUGGCUCAGUGGGUUAAACCUCUGCCUUCGGCUUGGGUCAUGAUCUCAGGGUGCUGGGAUUGAGUCCUGCAUCGGGCUCUCUGCUN
rnacentral:lncRNA from 1 species